rnacentral:rRNA from 1 species
UACGGGGGGGGCGAGCGUUGUUCGGAAUUACUGGGCGGAAAGGGUUUGUAGGUGGCCUGCUAAGUCAGACGUGAAAUCCCUCAGCUUAACUGGGGAACUGCGUCUGAUACUGGCGGGCUUGAGGACAGGAGAGGAACGCGGAAUUCCAGGUGUAGCGGUGAAAUGCGUAGAUAUCUGGAGGAACACCGGUGGCGAAGGCGGGUCUCUGGGCCGAAAUUGACGCUGAGGAGCGAAAGCGUGGGGAGCAAACAGG